UNCUAGGACAGGAUAUCCACUGUAGCUGGAC
rnacentral:piRNA from 1 species